GUAGAUGCUCAGCUCAUGUCUGUCUAGAGGCCUCAGACAGACUCUCACUUGUGAAUAAAAUGAGCUGUCUAGGCAGACGCUCAUCUCUUGUGGGCUUACGAGGCCUCCAGAAGCUCUCAUGUGCCUGUCUGGAGCUUCAAGGAAGAUGCUCAGCUCCUGUAUAACUAAGAGGCCUGAGGGCAGACUCUCAGCUGGUGUAUAACUCAGAGGCCUCUAGGGAGACACUCAUCUUCUGUGUUCCUAUGAGGCCUCUAGACAGGUGUGCACCUCAUGUCUGUCAGGAGGCCUCAAGGCAGAUCUCCACACAAUAGUGCUUAUGAGGACUCUAGGCAAACUCUCAACUUGCGUACAACUAUGAGGCCUCUAGGCAGAAACUCAGCUCCUCUUUCCUGUGAGGCUUCUAGACAGACACUCAGCUCCUGUGUUCCCAUGAGGCCUCUAGCCAGAUGCUUAGCUCUUGUAGGCCAAGAGACCUCUAGGCAGAUGUUCAAUUCCUGUGGGGCUGUGAGUCCUCUAGGCAGACACUCAGCUUCUGUGGGCCUAGAGGCGUCUAUGCAGAUGCUCAACUCCUGUUUUCCUAUGAGGCCUCUAGACAGAGGCUCAGCUUGUGCCUGUCUAGAGACCUCAAGGCAGAUGCUCGGCUCCUGUUGUCCUGUAAGGCCUCUAGGCAGACACUCAACUCCUGUGGAACCGUGAGGGCUCUAGACAGAUGCUCAGCUCCUGUCUUACUAGGAGGCCUUUAGGCAGAAGCUGAGCUCGUUUAUAGCUAUACGGCUUCUAGUAAGACAUCUUUUGUGCGCCUGUGGGGCCUCUAGGCUUUCACUCGGCUGGUGUUCCAAGGAAGCCCCUAGGCAGACGCUCACCUUGUGUGUAGCUAUGAGGCCCUGUGCAGACACUCAGCUCCUGGGUCUGUGGGCCUCUUGGUGACUCUCCAGUUGCGUAUGUUAUGAAGCCUCUCUCAGCUCCUUUGCAUCCAGUGUCCUAUUAAAUUGAUUAUCAGUUAACACCUAGGUAUACUAUGUCUGAUC
ensembl:lncRNA